CCCAGACUCCUACGGGAGGCAGCAGUGGGGAAUAUUGGGCAAUGGAGGCAACUCUGACCCAGCAACGCCGCGUGAAUGAUGAAGGUCUUCGGAUUGUAAAGUUCUUUUCUAAGGGAAGAAGAAAGUGACGGUACCUUAGGAAUAAGCCCCGGCUAACUACGUGCCAGCAGCCGCGGUAAUACGUAGGGGGCAAGCGUUAUCCGGAUUUACUGGGUGUAAAGGGGGCGCAGACGGCAGCGCAAGCCAGGAGUGAAAGCCCGGGGCCCAACCCCGGGACUGCUCUUGGAACUGCGCGGCUGGAGUGCAGGAGGGGCAGGCGGAAUUCCUGGUGUAGCGGUGAAAUGCGUAGAUAUCGGGAGGAACACCGGUGGCGAAGGCGGCCUGCUGGACUGCGACUGACGUUGAGGCCCGAAAGCGUGGGGAGCAAACAGGAUUAGAUACCCUAGUAAA
rnacentral:rRNA from 1 species